AACGAACGCUGGCGGCAGGCCUAGCACAUGCAAGUCGAGCGAAGCCUUCGGGCUUAGCGGCGGACGGGUGAGUAACGCGUGGGAACGUGCCCUUUGGUACGGAAUAGCCCCGGGAAACUGGGAGUAAUACCGUACGUGGUCGAGAGACGAAAGAUUUAUCGCCAAAGGAUCGGCCCGCGUUGGAUUAGGUAGUUGGUGGGGUAAUGGCCUACCAAGCCGACGACCCAUAGCUGGUUUGAGAGGAUGAUCAGCCACACUGGGACUGAGACACGGCCCAGACUCCUACGGGAGGCAGCAGUGGGGAAUCUUAGACAAUGGGGGAAACCCUGAUCUAGCCAUGCCGCGUGAUCGAUGAAGGCCUUAGGGUUGUAAAGAUCUUUCAGUGGGGAAGAUAAUGACUGUACCCACAGAAGAAGCCCCGGCUAACUCCGUGCCAGCCGCCGCGGUAAUAC
rnacentral:rRNA from 1 species